CCUACGGGAGGCAGCAGUGGGGAAUAUUGCGCCAUGGGCGCAAGCCUGACGCAGCGAUGCCGCGUGAGGGAUGAAGGUCUUCGGAUCGUAAACCUCUGUCAGCAGGGAAGAACGGUCACUGUGCUAAUCAGCAGUCAAUUGACGGUACCUGCAAAGGAAGCACCGGCUAACUCCGUGCCAGCAGCCGCGGUAAUACGGAGGGUGCGAGCGUUAAUCGGAAUUACUUGGCGUAAAGCGCACGUAGGCGGUCUGUCAAGUCAACGGUGAAAUCCCCGGGCUUAACGUGGGAACUGCAUUUGAAACUGGCAAACUGGAGUGUGUGAGAGGAUAGUGGAAGUCCAGGUGUAGGGGUGAAAUGCGUAGAGAUCUGGAGGAACAUCAGGGGCGAAGGCGACUAUCUGGCACAUAACUGACGCUGAGGAGCGAAAGCGUGGGUAGCAAACAGGAUUAGAUACCCUAGUAGUC
rnacentral:rRNA from 1 species